UAUUAGCUACCAAUGCCUGAAUUAGUAAUAGUUGGUGCAAUAAUAUUUAUUUUGUCGUCCAUAUGAAAGUCCCAUAACAGGCUAUCUCACACAAUAAGGUAUGCUGAAACCUCAACUAAUUUGUUAUGUAAGAAUAAUACAUCCAGUGAAUAAUGAUCAUUCUUGAGUUCAAUAUGUUCUCUGACGGAUACAAGCUUGAAAAUUUUUUUUCCCGAACAGAACUUGUUUAUUGUCUAUUUCAAUUUCAUGCUCCCAUCUAAAAGGCUAAAACCUCUACACAUCAAAAUUGCCCACCUCAAAGCACAUAAUCUUAAAAAAUUCUAACAGGUUGAACUGAAUUUAGUAUUCAAAUAAAGCUGCAAACAGAAACGGCUGACAGACCAAGAUGCUUGAGUCAGCAAACUAAUAUUGCGUAAAUUCAAUAACAAAAAAAAAUUGCGGUGUAUUGAUACUUGUGAGGAUUCAAAUUGAACAAUUUGAUACAAAUAUGUGGAACAGAACUAACACAGCAUUUCCAAGGAUCGGUAGAUCAUGUUUUACAUAACCACCAAAUGUUCGGAUGAAAUAGCAGCAAUUCGUAGCUGCAUAUUCUUACAGACUAUAUAAACAUUUGGCAUUCAAGACACAAAUAGCCGACCAGGCAAUAAAAGGAUACAAAAGAAUAAUAAAUUAAUCAAUAUCUUAACAUCUCCCAGUGGGGCUAUACAACCAAUCUGUACUUAACAUUGCUUUGGAAAUUCAAGGUGAAAGAACUGUCAGGGCAGUCCAUAGUCUAACAAAUUGCAACAUCUACAAGUAAAGAAAGUAACAAUGGAACUCAACAACGUACCUACAUUUUGCCAUUACCAGAUAAUAUAGGUUGUUCCUCACAUGACCUGCAGAUAAGGCAUGCAAAAUUAUAAAGAGAAAAUUUGCAAUACUCAGCAUAUGUUAUCACAGGCUGAUGGGUAUUUUAUGUAGCAGACGCCACAACACAGUUUCCUUCCCACUUCCAUCUGACAAAUGGGCAUCCACUCUUUCCUUCUCACACCAUUCAUAAUGGCUUCCAAAGGAACUUAAAACAACCUCAAAUAAUGGGGGCUCCCUCGUUCAGAUACUUCCAACAUCAACCUAUGUAAAAUGAGCACAUGACUUUGAACUUAAAAGCAAUUAACAUGAACUCCCAAUCUAUUUGCUCUAGUAAUCUAGGAAUCUUUCAGUCAAAAAAAAAAAUCUAGGAAUCUAAAUAAAAUUCACAUCAAGUGCAUCCUUUAGCAAGAAGAGAUUAUUGUGUCAAGCAUUUUUAUGAGGUUUCCCAGUUGUAUGGCAAAGGUAUGCAUCAUAGAAGCCACACUGCAUUAAGUGUUUCUAAUUGGAUAGAGAACCUGAACUUUUCCACAUCUAAUGAAUCCAGAUCUAUACGUGGUAAUGGAUAACAUUGUUUUUGUCGACUUUUGAAAUCCCACCCAAGAGCAUCUCUUUUCUAGUUAUGAUAUCAUUUGUUCUAGAGGAUAUUCUGAAUUGACGGCACAACAAAUAGAAAUAGACAAUGAUAACUCCAGUAGCAAUUCAAGUGCAUAAUAUCUCAAGCAACAGAAUGGAUUAUAUGAACACAUGCCAGAUAAAGAGAGACACAUAAUAAGUUAAUAUCUAUGAACUUAGUUGAAAACAUCCAGCUUUCCUUCAAUCUCCUUACUUUAAUAAACUACCUCCCUCUCCAAUCAUAAAACUACAUUAAGAUAGCAGUGCAUGAAAAGCCCACAUGAACAUCAACAGUUAUGGGAAAAAAGAUUGGUAAGAUCAUCAAGGUCUAACUAGUUGCUAGAAAGAUCUACAUCUACGCCAACAAGAAGAGCAAUUACAGUAUUAUAAAGCUAGCAACCUCUGAAGGGCAAGGAAAUUCAAAAGAUAGCAGAUAACAAAAAGGAAAAAAAUGAAAAAGAUAAAAAAGUAUUAAAAACUAAAACUACAAAUAGAAUCAAUAGCAUGAUAAAUAAAGAAAAAAACAAUAUUAUGAACUCAACUAAAUAAACAAAAUAAGUUCAAUUACCUCACAGGUUCAGAAACAUAACAAGAAAAUAGCUGAGGUUGACAAUGCCAAAAUAUGAACCUCACAUAUACUUUAUCUGUGCAAAAAACACUAAAGACUUCAUAUUGCAGAAUCAAU
rnacentral:misc_RNA from 1 species